UACAGAGGGGGCAAGCGUUAUCCGGAAUUAUUGGGCGUAAAGAGCUCGUAGGCGGUGUGUCGCGUCGGCCGUGAAAACCUGGGGCUUAACUCUGGGCUUGCGGUCGAUACGGGCAUCACUGGAGUUCGGCAGGGGAGACUGGAAUUCCUGGUGUAGCGGUGAAAUGCGCAGAUAUCAGGAGGAACACCGGUGGCGAAGGCGGGUCUCUGGGCCGAUACUGACGCUGAGGAGCGAAAGCGUGGGGAGCGAACAGG
rnacentral:rRNA from 1 species